ensembl:misc_RNA Metazoa_SRP Metazoan signal recognition particle RNA
GCUGGGUGUGGUGGGGCACACCUGUAGUCCAGUCUCUCGGGAGGCUGAGGCGGGAGGAUCGCUUGAGCCCAGGAGUUCUGGGCUGUAGUGUGCUAUGCCAAUCAGGUGUUCACACUAAGUUCAGCACCAACAUGGUGGCCUCCUAGGAGCAGGGGACCACCAGGUUGACUAAGGAGGGGUGAACCGGCCUCUGCUGGAAACGGAGCAGGUCAAAACUCCCAUGCUGAUUAGCAAUGAGAUCAUGCCUGUGAAUAGCCACUGAACUCUAGCCUGAGCAACACAAGACCCCAUCUCUA